rnacentral:rRNA from 1 species
AACAUGUCUUUUUGAUAAUAAUUUAAAGUCUAAUCUGCCCACUGAAUUAUUUUAAAGGGCUGCAGUAUAUUGACUGUACAAAGGUAGCAUAAUCAUUAGUCUUUUAAUUGAAGACUUGUAUGAAUGAUUUGAUGAAAUAUAAACUGUCUCUUUAUUAAUAAUAGAAAUUAAUUUUUUAGUUAAAAAGCUAAAAUUUAUUUAAAAGACGAGAAGACCCUAUAGAGUUUUAUAUUUAAAUUUAUAUUAAUUUUUUAUAAAAUUUAUAUUUAAUAUUUUUUUAAUUAUUUUAUUGGGGUGAUAGAAAAAUUUAUUAAACUUUUUUUAAAAUUUUUACAUUAAUAUAUGAAAUUUUGAUCCAUAAUUUAUGAUUAAAAGAUUAAAUUACCUUAGGGAUAACAGCGUAAUUUUUUUUUUUAGUUCUUAUAAGAAAAAAAGUUUGCGACCUCGAUGUUGGAUUAAGAUAAAAUUUAAAUGCAAAAGUUUAAAAUUUUGAUCUGUUCGAUCAUUAAAAUCUUACGUGAU